UACGGGGGGGGCAAGCGUUGUUCGGAAUUACUGGGCGUAAAGGGCUCGUAGGUGGCCAACUAAGUCAGACGUGAAAUCCCUCGGCUUAACCGGGGAACUGCGUCUGAUACUGGAUGGCUUGAAUUCGGGAGAGGGAUGCGGAAUUCCAGGUGUAGCGGUGAAAUGCGUAGAUAUCUGGAGGAACACCGGUGGCGAAGGCGGCAUCCUGGACCGACACUGACACUGAGGAGCGAAAGCCAGGGGAGCAAACGGG
rnacentral:rRNA from 1 species